rnacentral:rRNA from 1 species
UACGUAGGUGGCGAGCGUUGUCCGGAAUUACUGGGCGUAAAGGGCGCGUAGGCGGCUCUUUAAGUCAGAUGUGAAAACCCAGGGCUUAACUCUGGGACUGCAUUUGAAACUGAAGGGCUUGAGUGCAGGAGAGGUAAGUGGAAUUCCUAGUGUAGCGGUGAAAUGCGUAGAUAUUAGGAGGAACACCAGUGGCGAAGGCGACUUACUGGACUGUAACUGACGCUGAGGCGCGAAAGCGUGGGGAGCAAACAGG